rnacentral:sRNA from 1 species
UAAUGAUCAACAGCACUAAGUUUUAUUCUAAAGUAGUUAUCUGAUCUCAAUUUGGCAUUGCUAAAUAAGCAACUAGUCUGUAACCUACCAACAUCAUGGCCAUUAUAGACACAUCCACCCACAAGUGGUUCAAACCCACUGAUUUUAUUGGAGGAAAUUCUCCAACCUUGCACAAGACCCCUUUUGAGCACUCAUAAUAAUCAUCAUCCAUGUACUGCACACCAACAAGA